rnacentral:rRNA from 1 species
UGAGCAACCUGCCCUUGACUCUGGGAUAACCCCGGGAAACCGGAGCUAAUACCGGAUACGAACCACCCAGGCAUCUAGGUGGUUGGAGAGAACUUCGGUCAAGGAUGGGCUCGCGGCCUAUCAGCUUGUUGGUGAGGUAACGGCCCACCAAGGCGACGACGGGUAGCCGGCCUGAGAGGGCGACGUCCG